rnacentral:rRNA from 1 species
GCUUACGGCCAUACCACCCUGAGCACGCCCGAUCUCGUCUGAUCUCGGAAGCUAAGCAGGGUUGGGCUUGGUUAGUACUCGGAUGGUCCCACUAGACUGCCUGGGAAUACCAGGUGCUGUAAGCU